GGACUCCAGUAAUAUCACCUACAGCAUGAC
rnacentral:misc_RNA from 1 species